CAGUCGCCACGGUAAUACGAGGGGGGCAAGCGUUGUUCGGAAUUAUUGGGCGUAAAGGGUGCGUAGGCGGUUCAGCAAGUCUCGUGUGAAAUCUUCGGGCUCAACCCGAAGUCUGCACGGGAAACUACUGGGCUUGAGUAUGGGAGAGGUGAGUGGAAUUUCCGGUGUAGCGGUGAAAUGCGUAGAUAUCGGAAGGAACACCUGUGGCGAAAGCGGCUCACUGGACCAUAACUGACGCUGAUGCACGAAAGCUAGGGGAGCAAACAGGAUUAGAUACCCGAGUAGUCCCUGUCUCUUAUAC
rnacentral:rRNA from 1 species